AGGGCGAUAGAUAUGGACCUGGUUUGGGUACGUGGGAGCAUUCCGACACUCCUCUUUUGUCAAAUUGGAAAGUUGCACGAAGACAUUAUAUCUGUGUGCUAAUAUUACCUUAUUGAAAUGGAGAAAUAAAAUUGGCAUUACAACAUGUACUGAGUCAGCUGUUUCCGUUACUAGAAAUUGCUUGCCUCUGUAACACGUGUUGUCUAAUGUUCUUAUGUUGUUUGCUAUCAAAUGUGGGCUUGCUCGGGCUUUCAAGGAUGGGAUUUCAUAGUUUGACAUUGUAAAUCGAACAUGCACUAGAAGAAAGAAAGUCACCAACUUCCACUAUACGUGUUUAUGUCUGAAAGGACAAAUGUAGAUGAAAAGCUGAAAAAGAAAAUGACCCAAAGAUAUCUAAAAGGACAUGUGGUAGCAUCAGGGACGGGGCGAGUCUUUAUUGAGUUAUGCUAUACGUAAAAAGUUGAUUUAUAAAGUUUGUUGGCAAAGUAAUAUCUGCACCAAUCAAACACAGAUUUAAAAUCAUUGGAAAUCAAUGUCUGAAUCGUGUCAACACUUUUUUUCAACCAAAUUUGUAAACACUUUAUUUCUUCAUUUGUUUAUGCAAAAUCCUCUCAAAACAUCAAUAACAACUCUCACAAGAGAAAUAUUGAUGUUUACUCCCUUUCAAGAACUGAAAACACUAAGUAUUUCCAAAGAGAAUAACCAAUAAGAACUACAUGGAGAAGACGAAACAAAAUAAGCUUUUCGAGUUUUUCAGAAUGAAACCCUAAAGUCACAAGCCUCGACUUUAUAUGAGACAGAGCUAAUUAUAUCAUCCAACAGUACAAGACCAGCCAUGUCAGUAAUCCAACAAAAGUGCAUUUUCAAUUAAAAGGCGAGUUUAACAAAAACAUUUUUAUCAUAAUUCUAGAUUCUUCAAAAACAUUUUUACCAUAAUUCUGGAUUCUUCAGCUUAUUGAAUCAUCAAUUUGGGCCAUAGUUAUAGUAGAACCGAUAGCAUACAGCCCGCAUAUUUGGACUUUACAAAAUUUAGCAACCCAAUUUUUACGAUCUUCACCUUUGUUACAAUUUGUGACUGUACUAUAAUGGAUUCCAACUUAAUCAACACAACUUCACGUGCUCUUACUACUUGUUCACAAAGAAAAGAAAAAUUAGCAAAUUUCAAGUUUCAAUUGUCUCAAAGAAUCAAUGAACUAACUAAGUGAUAUUACCUCUGUACCUACAUCAGCAAGAUUUAUCUUAGUCGAAAGUUUGGUCAGCUUAAUGACACCUCUUUUAAUUAUAUCUCUAAUAAAAUGAAAUUUAACAUCUAUAUUUUUAAACCUAUCGUUAAAAACUGAAUUUUUACUCAAGAAAAUGACACUUUGAUUAUCUAGAACAUAGCAUUUACCUGAUUUUCCAUGGGUCCUAAUUCAUUUAAUAAGCCUUUCAACCAUGAGCAUUCGUUUGCUGCCUUAGUAGCAACAAUAUAUUCAGCUUCAUUUGAUGAUGAAAUAACCAAUUUCCGAAGUUGAGAUUUUCAGAUAAUGCAUGUAUUAUCUAUCACAUAAAAAUCUGCAGUUAUAAACUUCCUAUUAACUAAGUUUCCAGCAAAAUCAAAGUCAACAUGGCCAAUCAAUUUAAAGCCAUCUUUAUCAAUUUUAAACAUAAGUCUUAAUUGACAUGUGCCUUUCAAGUAUUUAAUCAAAUUUUUCAUAGCUUUCCAAUGAAGCUCACCCGGGUUAUUCAUGAAUUUGCUUAACACACUUACAACAUAAGCUAUAUCUAGUCUAGAACAUACCAUUUCAUACAUGAUAGAUCCAACAGCGUAGCAUAUGGCAAAUCCAUUAUUCUUUUAAAUUCAUCUUCAAUUUUAGGUGAUUGAUCAACAGAUAAUUUCACACAACUAAACAAAGGUAAACUAAC
rnacentral:lncRNA from 1 species